ACCCACCCAAGGCUGCCUCCCGGACCCGCCAGGCGGAGAAGGGACCUCUGCUGCAUGUGUUUCAAUGAUCACAGGAUCUUCUCCUUCUCAGAGGCUAAUGAAGAUUAGAAGGCCAAAAAAAACGCACUCGUGAUGAAACGUUCUUUGAGCUCAUGGUAUCCUCCCACACUGACAGACCACAGACGAAUGCGUGGAG